rnacentral:rRNA from 1 species
AUUGAACGCUGGCGGCAGGCCUAACACAUGCAAGUCGAGCGGAUGAAGGGAGCUUGCUCCUGGAUUCAGCGGCGGACGGGUGAGUAAUGCCUAGGAAUCUGCCUGGUAGUGGGGAUAACGUUCGGGAACGGGCGCUAAUACCGGAUACGUCCUUGGGGAGAAAGUGGGGGAUCUUCGGACCCCCACCUUUCAGAUGAGCCUAGGUCGGAUCAGCUAGUUGGUGGGGUAAAGGCCUACCAAGGCGACGAUCCGUAACUGGUCUGAGAGGAUGAUCAGUCACACUGGAACUGAGACACGGUCCAGACUCCUACGGGAGGCAGCAGUGGGGAAUAUUGGACAAUGGGCGAAAGCCUGAUCCAGCCAUGCCGCGUGUGUGAAGAAGGUCUUCGGAUUGUAAAGCACUUUAAGUUGGGAGGAAGGGCAGUAAGUUAAUACCUUGCUGUUUUGACGUUACCAACAGAAUAAGCACCGGCUAACUUCGUG